AUGGGUGUGAUGAUUAUUUCCCCAGAUGAUCGAAGCUGAUUAAACUGUGCGAUUUUUCUCUCGAUUGUGGAGAAUCCAAGCCAGUAUUCUGAUCCAU